CUACGGGCGGCUGCAGUGGGGAAUAUUGGGCAAUGGGCGCAAGCCUGACCCAGCAACGCCGCGUGAGGGAAGAAUGUCUUCGGAUUGUAAACCUCUGUCCUUGGGGACGAAAAAAAUGACGGUACCCAAGGAGGAAGCUCCGGCUAACUACGUGCCAGCAGCCGCGGUAAUACGUAGGGAGCAAGCGUUGUCCGGAAUUAUUGGGCGUAAAGGGUGCGUAGGCGGCGCUGUAAGUCAGAUGUGAAAUCCCCGGGCUUAACUCGGGAGUUGCAUUUGAAACUACAGUGCUUGAGUAAAGAAGGGGUAAGUGGAAUUCCUAGUGUAGCGGUGGUAUGCGUAGAUAUUAGGAGGAACACCAGUGGCGAAGGCGACUUACUGGUCUUUUACUGACGCUGAGGCACGAAAGCGUGGGGAGCAAACAGGAUUAGAUACCCCCGUAGUC
rnacentral:rRNA from 1 species